rnacentral:rRNA from 1 species
CAGGGAUUGCCCUAGUAACGGCGAGUGAAGCGGCAACAGCUCAAAUUUGAAAUCUGGCGUAAGCCCGAGUUGUAAUUUGUAGAGGAUGCUUCUGGGUAGCGACCGAUCUAAGUUCCUUGGAACAGGACGUCAUAGAGGGUGAGAAUCCCGUAUGUGACCGGCCCGCACCCUUUACGUAGCUCCUUCGACGAGUCGAGUUGUUUGGGAAUGCAGCUCUAAAUGGGAGGUAAAUUUCUUCUAAAGCUAAAUACCGGCCAGAGACCGAUAGCGCACAAGUAGAGUGAUCGAAAGAUGAAAAGUACUUUGGAAAGAGAGUUAAAAAGCACGUGAAAUUGUUGAAAGGGAAGCGCCUGCAACCAGACUUCGUGGCAGUGUUCCGCCGGUCUUCUGACCGGUUUAUUCUCUGUCGCGAGGCCAUCAUCGUCUAGGCCCGCCGGAUAAGACCUUAGGAAUGUAGCUCACCUUCGGGGGAGUGUUAUAGCUUAUGGUGAUGCGGCGAGGCUUGGGCGAGGUCCGCGCUUCGGCAAGGAUGAUGGCGUAAUGGUUGUCGGCGGCCCGUCUUGAAACACGGACCAAGGAGUCUAACAUCUAUGCGAGUGUUCGGGUGUCAAACCCCUACGCGUAAUGAAAGUGAACGGAGGUGGGAACCGCAAGGUGCACCAUCGACCGAUCCUGAUGUCCUCGGAUGGAUUUGAGUAAGAGCAUAGCUGUUGGGACCCGAAAGAUGGUGAACUAUGCCUGAAUAGGGUGAAGCCAGAGGAAACUCUGGUGGAGGCUCGCAGCGGUUCUGACGUGCAAAUCGAUCGUCAAAUUUGGGUAUAGGGGCGAAAGACUAAUCGA